rnacentral:lncRNA from 1 species
GAAGGAAACCAGAGAUCUGGUGCUAUUACGUCCCAGCGUCUGAGAGAACGAGUAAGCACAGAAUUCAAAGCAUUCUGCAGCCUGAAUUUUGAAGAGUGUGUUUAGGCACUAAGCAAGCUGAUUUAUGAUAACUGCUUUAAACUUCAACAACCAAGGCAUAAGAACUAGGAGCUGCUGACAUUUCAAUAUGAAGGGCAACUCCACCCUUGCCACUACUAGCAAAAACAUUACCAGCG